AUGUAGUGAGCUGAGUGGGGAGGAGAGAGGGACAGAGAGCCUGCUUGCUUUAAAGGAGCCAACUGGACUCUCCUUUAAAGCAAGCAGGCUUUCUGUCCCUCUCUCCUCCCCACUCAGCAACUCUUCUC
rnacentral:miRNA from 1 species